GAGUGGCGGACGGGUGAGUAACGCGUGGGCAACCUGCCCCAUAGAGGGGGACAACAGCUGGAAACGGCUGCUAAUACCGCAUAACAAGGAGAGAGCGCAUGUUCUUUUCUUCAAAGAUUUAUCGCUAUGGGAUGGACCCGCGUCUGAUUAGCUGGUUGGUGAGGUAACGGCUCACCAAGGCGACGAUCAGUAGCCGGCUUGAGAGAGUGGACGGCCACAUUGGGACUGAGACACGGACCAGACUCCUACGGGAGGCAGCAGUGAGGAAUAUUGGUCAAUGGCCGAGAGGCUGAACCAGCCAAGUCGCGUGAGGGAUGACGGCCCUACGGGUUGUAAACCUCUUUUGCCGGGGAGCAAAGAGCGGGACGCGUCCCGCCUCGAGAGUACCCGGAGAAAAAGCAUCGGCUAACUCCGUGCCAGCAGCCGCGGUAAUACGGAGGAUGCGAGCGUUAUCCGGAUUUAUUGGGUUUAAAGGGUGCGCAGGCGGAAGCGCAAGUCAGCGGUAAAAUUGAGAGGCUCAACCUCUUCCCGCCGUUGAAACUGCGUUUCUUGAGUGGGCGAGAAGUAUGCGGAAUGCGCGGUGUAGCGGUGAAAUGCAUAGAUAUCGCGCAGAACUCCGAUUGCGAAGGCAGCAUGCCGGCUCCACACUGACGCUGAGGCACGAAAGCGUGGGUAUCGAACAGGAUUAGAUACCCUGGUAGUCCACGCAGUAAACGAUGAAUGCUGGCUGUCCGGGGGGAUUGACCCCUGGGUGGCGAAGCGAAAGCGAUAAGCAUUCCACCUGGGGAGUACGCCGGCAACGGUGAAACUCAAAGGAAUUGACGGGGGCCCGCACAAGCGGAGGAACAUGUGGUUUAAUUCGAUGAUACGCGAGGAACCUUACCCGGGCUCAAACGGGGAGUGACUCAGGCAGAGACGCCUGUUUCCCACGGGACACUCCCCGAGGUGCUGCAUGGUUGUCGUCAGCUCGUGCCGUGAGGUGUCGGCUUAAGUGCCAUAACGAGCGCAACCCCCGCGUGCAGUUGCUAACAGAUAACGCUGAGGACUCUGCACGGACUGCCGGCGCAAGCCGCGAGGAAGGCGGGGAUGACGUCAAAUCAGCACGGCCCUUACGUCCGGGGCGACACACGUGUUACAAUGGGUGGUACAGCGGGAAGCCAGGCGGCGACGCCGAGCGGAACCCGAAAUCCACUCUCAGUUCGGAUCGGAGUCUGCAACCCGACUCCGUGAAGCUGGAUUCGCUAGUAAUCGCGCAUCAGCCAUGGCGCGGUGAAUACGUUCCCGGGCCUUGCACACAACGCCCGUCA
rnacentral:rRNA from 1 species